AUCAUGACUCUCGGCAACGGAUAUCUUGGCUCUCGCAUCGAUGAAAAACGCAGCAAAAUGCGAUACCUGGUGUGAAUUGCAGAAUCCCGUGAACCAUCGAGUUUUUGAACGCAAGUUGCGCCCGAGGCCUUUUGGUCGAGGGCACGUCUGCCUGGGCGUCACGU
rnacentral:rRNA from 1 species